UACGGAGGGUGCGAGCGUUAAUCGGAAUUACUGGGCGUAAAGGGUGCGUAGGUGGUUUAUUAAGUUAGCUGUGAAAUACCUAGGCUUAACCUAGGCAGGUCAGCUAAGACUGAUGGACUCGAGUAUGGGAGAGGGUAGUGGAAUUUCCGGUGUAGCGGUGAAAUGCGUAGAGAUCGGAAGGAACACCAGUGGCGAAGGCGGCUACCUGGCCUAAUACUGACACUGAGGCACGAAAGCGUGGGGAGCAAACAGG
rnacentral:rRNA from 1 species